AAAAGUAGAGGUCGCACAUUUUAUCAGUAGCAGGUCGGAUGUUCAUACGCAGAUGAAGGCUUGUGAAAGGCGAAUGUGCCGAAGUUUUAGUUUCGGUAUGAAGAUACUAUUGCUGGGCAUAAGUUUAACAGACUUAUGACUGUCAUCAUAUGAUGGAGGGCUACUGU
rnacentral:ncRNA from 1 species